CUCUCAAGUUUCUUCUCAAGAAAAAAGAUGCAAAGCCUCGAUUGAUUCGUUGGAUGCUCCUACUUCAAGAAUUUGACAUUGAAAUACGAGAUAGGAGUGGGAAAGAGAACUUGGUGGCGGACCAUUUGAGUAGGAUUGGUAGUGAUAUGGAUACUAUACCAAUUGUAGAUGUAUUUCCUGAUGAACAUCUUUUCCGGCUACAAGGAAAUUUCUACUGGGAGAGUUUUCAAGGUGAAUGGACAUCGUCUCAAAGUGUUCUUUGAAGGUGCUGAGGGAGGAUUCAAGAGAAAUUGUAUUUUGAAGAAGCUGCAUAUAUAUCUUGAGAAAAAAGGGAAGUGUGGUUUGUGUGUCUUUCCUUUUAAUUCUGUUAGUUUGCAAUUGUUUUGGUUUUUUGUAGUUUAAUCGUUUUUGAUUUCAUUUUGUGCAAAUAAAUUGUUUCUUUAAGUAGUACUGAUGAUUCUUGUUUUGGAUUUGUAAAGGGUUUUAUAUAUGAUUCAUCAGUGCUAAAUUCUUUACAUAUCUUGUUGGAUAACUUCAUGAGUUCAAUGGAUAAGAUGGUGGAUUUUAACUUGAGUAGUUGAGUUCAUUUAAUACCUAGUGAGGAUCAUUCUGGUGGCCUAUCUAAUUAAUUUUGUGUGAUAUGCACUUCAACAUGGAUCUCUAGAAUUUGCCUUGUUCCUUUUCAAAAUUGCAAUUGUUAUACAUUAAGCAUGAGGAUGAUGAAAGAUUUUCUGUUCUUGGUCUCUUUCUACUUUAUCUUCUAUUUUCUUAUUCUUCUAUACAUUUCUUUAGUGUGCUGGGAUUGUUUUUGAUGAGUUUCUUUGUUUGAGACGAACAACAUUCUAAGUGUGGGGGGAGGUGCAUGUGAUGCAAAUGUGUAGGAAAUGCAUGGAUUUUUGCUGACUUUAAGCCGUUGUAGUUGAUUUCUGUAAGAAGUGGAGUUUUGUUACCAAGAGAAUUAAGCUGGAAUUUUGAGCAGUGAACUUUAGAGAAAUAUUGAGUUGGAAGAGGUGCUAUUGUAGUAAACUGGAAGAGAUUUAAGUUUUGACCAAGGGAUUAAGUUUUUCUUAGUCCAGUUUCAAAAAAAAAAAAAAAAAAAAAAUCUUUGAAUUCUGGAAAUUUCUGUAAUCAACUUGGUCAAAUAUUUUGGAUAUGGUAGUUAGUUAGAAUGGGUAAUCAUUUCAUUAUAUUUUUCUGGAAAUCUGGACUUGGAAUUCUUUGAAGCUAUAUAGUUUGUGCAGCUAACUUGGGUGAUAUUAUGCAAACUACUUGAGAAGGAAAAGGAAAACUAUAAUUGGACAAGAAGAGUUCUUGAAUGAAUUCUGGAAUGUAUAUUGUCUUGUAGGCUGGGAAUUGGAUGUUCAAUAAAGUUCUUCAUUGUAUUAAUUUGGACAUUCUAGUGAUAAUUUCUAGUUCCAGGAGGUAGAGAAUUAAACAGUGAAGCUUUAUAACAAGAACUGCUGGGAAAUUUUAGUUGUUGCAAUCUUGUACUAUUCCAAUUUUGAAUUUAAAUUUUGGAUUCAGUUCAGGGAAUUCUUGUUUUGUUGACAAAGAAUGUGAUUUAACUCACAGUUGAAUGUUUGGAAACAGAUGAAGGAUUCUUCUAUACAAAGUAAGUUGGAAAGUGAAAACUAAACAAGAGGAUUGGGUUAUUAUGAAGAACCAAGAUUGGAGGUGCAAGGAGAUUACAAGUUGAAUUUAUUCAUUUAGUCAUUUAGGAAGUUUAAACUUCAUUGAGUUUGUAUAUUUCAGAUGAUAUUAUUCAGGAAGUUGGAUAUCUGGAUUUGAAUUUUAUGGGUUGUUGAAUGGGAACGGAAAGCUUGAUCACGAAUCUUGGUUACUUAACAAAAUCCUUAAGUGGAAGAGUUAGUUGAUAGAGGAAUGAUGUUUUUAGUAAUUGGAGUGGUAAAAGAACAAGUAGGAAUUUAUCAAAGAUAGUUCCCAGCACUACUAUUUCUUCCUUAUCUUCAUGGUCUACAAUCAGUGUCUAAUACAAUUUCAAUUACCCUUUUGACUUCAAUUUCAUUGUUAAAAUCUUUUUGAUUCAUGUUUUGUUAUAUCAGAGCAGUGGAGAAUAAGGAAAAAGGCAAGCUUAUGGUAGUGAAGUGUGCAAGUAGCAUAGAGUGGAACUCUACUUCAGAAUUAGAUUAGGAGAGUGUUGGAGAUUAAUUCUCAACCGGGAAGGAUGAAUUGUUCUCGAUUAUUUGAGUAUCUGAACCCAUUUUACUGAUUGAACUAUGAAGGUUGUAGGACUUGAAUGUUUGAUUAGAUUGAUGGACAUAGAUAAUUACUUUUUACAUUCUUUAAUACAUUGUCAGUAUGGCUUAAAGAAGUGAUAUUGAGUUUUUUUCGGAGUCAUUUUGAUUUGCCGGGACGGUCAAAAGCAAGUGUGGGGGAAUUUGAUAGAGUUUAUUUGUGGUUAAUCAUUUUUAAUUGUUCUCUUCGGAAUCUUGUUCUUUUAUCAAGUUUUAAGUGCAUUUUCAUUAUGUUUAAUAACUCUAGUCGUUAUUUGGAAUUAUGAUAUGGAAAUGCAAGUACGGGGUAUUUUGUUGACAAUUUUAAUUAAUCUUUGUAGAAUAUUGAAGAGGAGGUUUUCAUUCAGAUUCAAGCUGUGGAGUUUCUGGACCGUGGGAUUCGAGUUUUGGAGGAUCUGGACCGUACAAGAGAUCUAAGUUCCGGAAACACUAUAAAUUAGAGAGGGAAGCUGUAGAAAAGGGGGAUCGGUGAUUUUUCUCUGGGAAAGGAAGAAACGGGAGAACGGAUUAGAGGGUGGAGCUCAUCUUCAACACUCUCCUGCAGUCGCCACUGAUCCAGAAGAGAAAAUGCAGAUUCACUGAGACUCGUUUUCCAGAUCUGGAGUUGGAAGGGCUGGGUUAGUUACAAUCCAGAUCUGGAUCAGAAUACUUCAUGAGAGUUUGGUUGUAUGUUUCCUAACUUUGUGAGUGCUUGGGGGAUCCCAGCUCAUUAGAUCUAUACUCUAUUUCCUUUCUUCAGAUUCAAUUCGGUUCCUUUCUUCGUAAGAAUUUUGUUAGUUCCACUUGUGUCAUUUUGGUUUAAUAUCGUGGAUCAUCUUAUCCUUGCUUUUGGUUGUUGGUAAUAAUCUGAUCUUAGAUGCAAAACUUCUACUCUUGGUUUCAUUUGA